rnacentral:tRNA from 1 species
CGCCCGGUGGUCUAGCGGUUAGAACGCUGGCCUUGUAAUCCUGGGGUCUCGGGUUCGAUUCCCGGCGGUGCCC